rnacentral:rRNA from 1 species
AUGGAUGAACCAUGCUCACUGUCCAUACACAUAGCAAAUAUUCCUCACAAUCCAUACACAUACAGAAUAGAAGAAUAUAUCAUGCUCGCUGUCCAACAAUCAAAGAAUAGAACCAAACAACAGCAAUGGGGUUCCUGUGUGCUUAUUAUACCUCUGAUUUUUGAGGGAGAGAAAGGGGGCUGCUGUGCUUGUUAUCUUGGCCGGCUUGGUGCUACCAGGAGAUCGCUCGGUGCUAGCUGCAGAGAGGAAGAGAGGGUGGGGGUCAGAGCCCGGCAAAGAGAAGUACAGAGGAGAGCCCUACUCCACGCCCAGUGUCUAAAACUGAAAUUCCCAUCCAAUGGCGACCCCCGGCCAUAG